GGGUCUCGCUCGUUACCUGACUUAACAGGAUGCUUCACAGUACGAACUGACGACGGCCAUGCACCACCUCUCAGCUAAUCCGGCAAAGUCUUCAGCCUGGCCUUCAUAUUGCUGUCGGUCCCGGUAAGAUUUCCGGCGUUGAAUCCAAUUAAACCGCAAGCUCCACCCGUUGUGGUGCUCCCCCGCCAAUUCCUUUAAGUUUCAGCCUUGCGGCCGUACUUCCCAGGUGGCUCGCUUCACGGCUUCCCUACGGCACCGACAACGGUCGCACCGUGGCCGACACCUAGCGAGUAUCGUUUACGGCUAGGACUACCCGGGUAUCUAAUCCGGUUCGUGCCCCCUAGCUUUCGUCCCUUGCCGUCAGGUCCGUUCUGGUGAGACGCCUUCGCCACUGGUGGUCCUUCAAGGAUUACAAGAUUUCACCCCUUACCCCUGAAGUACCUCUCACCUCUCCCGGCCUCGAGCCAGACAGUAUCUCCUGAAAGCCUGACAGUUAAGCUGCCAGAUUUCUCAAGAGACUUAUCCGGCCGGCUACAGACCCUUUAGACCCAAUAAUAACGGUUACCACUCGAGCCGCCGGUGUUACCGCGGCGGCUGGCACCGGUCUUGCCCGGCCCUUGCUAUGAAAUGCUUUUUAGGCAUCUCGACAGCCAGAUUUGUAACCUGGCACUCGAGGUUCCCUUAUCGCUGUUGCCAGCAUUGUAAAGUUUUCGCGCCUGCUGCACCCCGUAGGGCCUGGAUUCGUGUCUCAGAAUCCAUCUCCGGGCUCUUGCUCUCACAACCCGUACCCGUCGUAGGCUAGUAGGUACGCUACACCCACUACUACCUGAUAGGCCGCAGACCCAUCCUUAGGCGCCGGAGCUUUUAAUCUCGGUGCAUUCCAGCAGCCGAGACUUAUAGGGGAUUAUACCCAGUUUCCCGGGUUUAUACCCAACCUAAGGGCAGGUUGUCCACGUGUUACUGAGCAGUACGCCAUGUAUUGCUACAUUCGACUCGCAUGGCUUAGUCGAACCUCGAUAGCAGUAACCUCUGGCAGGAUCAACCGGA
rnacentral:rRNA from 1 species